rnacentral:rRNA from 1 species
GAAAUAGCUUUAGGGCUAGCGUCGAAAUGUAAGUGUAUUGGAGGUAGAGCACUGUUUGGGUGAGGGGUCCGUCUAGGAUUACCAAUCUCAGAUAAACUCCGAAUGCUAAUACACAUGUUCGGCAGUCAGACUGCGAGUGCUAAGAUCCGUAGUCGAAAGGGAAACAGCCCAGACCAACAGCUAAGGUCCCAAAAUAUAUGUUAAGUGGAAAAGGAUGUGGGGUUGCACAGACAACUAGGAUGUUAGCUCAGAAGCAGCUAUCAUUCAAAGAGUGCGUAAUAGCUCACUAGUCGAGUGACUCUGCGCCGACAAUGUACCGGGGCUAAAUACACCAUCGAAGCUGCGGAUUGAUACCAAUGGUAUCAGUGGUAGGGGAGCGUUCUAAGGAC